rnacentral:rRNA from 1 species
GUGGGGAAUCUUGCGCAAUGGGCGAAAGCCUGACGCAGCCAUGCCGCGUGAAUGAUGAAGGUCUUAGGAUUGUAAAAUUCUUUCACCGGGGACGAUAAUGACGGUACCCGGAGAAGAAGCUCCGGCUAACUUCGUGCCAGCAGCCGCGGUAAUACGAAGGGUGCUAGCGUUGCUCGGAAUUACUGGGCGUAAAGGGCGCGUAGGCGGACAGCUUAGUCAGAGGUGAAAGCCCAGGGCUCAACCUUGGAAUUGCCUUUGAUACUGGCUGUCUUGAGUUUGGGAGAGGUGAGUGGAACUCCGAGUGUAGAGGUGAAAUUCGUAGAUAUUCGGAAGAACACCAGUGGCGAAGGCGACUCACUGGCCCAAUACUGACGCUGAGGCGCGAAAGCGUGGGGAGCAAACAGGAUUAGAAACCCCAGUAGUCC